rnacentral:lncRNA from 1 species
UAGAGGAAUCAGACAUUAUUAAAGAAUUAAAUGCUCUUUAUUAAUUAUGGGUUGUAAAACCAUUGAUAGAAGCUUCUUUUUUAUAAAUGCAGGGAAGCGCAUCAUAUAAAAAAUGUGAGCCUAGAUUAACGCUUUUACAACUCCCUUAUUAUAGUUCUUUACUAUCCAGAGUCAUUUAAACAAAACUGUGAUUAAAAGUUACACCUAAUUGCUUUAAAAUCACUUUGGACUUUCAAGUUUUUUUUCACUUGUAAGAUUAUUGUUUGACAAGAGUCUUAUUAUGGAUGAGUCAUGAGAAAUGGUGUAUUUUAUUUUUCUCCACUUUUCACAAACUGAGCCAGUAUUUUUUGUUGUUGUGAUUUUGUGUUAUUUAGUUUCACCACACCAUGCUGUAUUUGUACACCAAUAAGGGUUCAUUGCCUGAUUUAAUAACUAAAAUAAAACUGUACACAAUUUGAGAUAAGAACAUUUGAACAUUGAUAUCAGAAAAGUCUUAUCAUUGGAUAGUUGAAAUAUUGUGCCAUCUUUCUAUUGUGGCAGUCAGCCCUGAGAAAUUGACUAUCUGUGAACAGCAAUACUUUAAUGAGUUUAUUUAUGUGUCCCUAUAUAAGAAACCAGAUUAUACUUGAAAACUCUGUUGAAUAUAGGAAAAAUUCCCAAAAUUUCAUCAGAUGACCAUGUUAAUUAAGUGGAACAUUUUACAAAGGGCUUGUCUUUCCAGAUUUGUGUGCACCUUAUUAGCUCACCUGGCCCGAAGGGCCGAGUGAGCUUUUCUCAUCACUUGGCGUCCGGCGUCCGUCGUCCGUCGUCCGUCGUCGUCGUCGUCGUCGUCGUCCGUCGUU